rnacentral:rRNA from 1 species
GGGGAAUAUUGCACAAUGGGCGAAAGCCUGAUGCAGCAACGCCGCGUGAGGGAAGACGGUUUUCGGAUUGUAAACCUCUGUCUUCGGUGACGAAAAAUGACGGUAGCCGAGGAGGAAGCCACGGCUAACUACGUGCCAGCAGCCGCGGUAAUACGUAGGUGGCGAGCGUUAUCCGGAAUUACUGGGUGUAAAGGGAGCGCAGGCGGGGCGACAAGUCAGCUGUGAAAACUAUGGGCUUAACUCAUAGACUGCAGUUGAAACUGUUGCUCUUGAGUGGAGUAGAGGCAAGCGGAAUUCCGAGUGUAGCGGUGAAAUGCGUAGAUAUUCGGAGGAACACCAGUGGCGAAGGCGGCUUGCUGGGCUCUAACUGACGCUGAGGCUCGAAAGUGUGGGGAGCGAAC